GAAGUUUUAGUAUAUAUGAGUAUGUUUUGUUGUCUGCAAGUAGGUUUCGUUGAAGUUUU
rnacentral:tRNA from 1 species